ACACCUGUGGUGAAGUGGUUAUCAUGCUUGCCUUCCAUUCUGAAGUUGGAGCGCAGCAAGCGGCACGAGUUCGAUUCUCGUCAGGUGUA
rnacentral:tRNA from 1 species